UACAGAGGGUGCAAGCGUUAAUCGGAAUUACUGGGCGUAAAGCGUGCGUAGACGGUUAUGUAAGUCAGAUGUGAAAGCCCCGGGCUUAACCUGGGAACUGCAUUCGAGACUGCAUAGCUAGAGUAUGGGAGAGGGAAGUGGAAUUUCAGGUGUAGCGGUGAAAUGCGUAGAUAUCUGAAGGAACAUCAGUGGCGAAAGCGACUUCCUGGACCAAUACUGACGCUCAUGUGCGAAAGCGUGGGGAGCAAACAGG
rnacentral:rRNA from 1 species